rnacentral:rRNA from 1 species
GUCGAGCGAACAGACGAGGAGCUUGCUCCUCUGACGUUAGCGGCGGACGGGUGAGUAACACCUGGAUAACCUACCUAUAAGACUGGGAUAACUUCGGGAAACCGGAGCUAAUACCGGAUAAUAUAUUGAACCGCAUGGUUCAAUAGUGAAAGACGGUUUUGCUGUCACUUAUAGAUGGAUCCGCGCCGCAUUAGCUAGUUGGUAAGGUAACGGCUUACCAAGGCGACGAUGCGUAGCCGACCUGAGAGGGUGAUCGGCCACACUGGAACUGAGACACGGUCCAGACUCCUACGGGAGGCAGCAGUAGGGAAUCUUCCGCAAUGGGCGAAAGCCUGACGGAGCAACGCCGCGUGAGUGAUGAAGGUCUUCGGAUCGUAGAACUCUGUUAUUAGGGAAGAACAAAUGUGUAAGUAACUAUG